AUUGAACGCUGGCGGCAUGCCUAACACAUGCAAGUCGAACGGCAGCACGGUCUAGCUUGCUAGACUGGUGGCGAGUGGCGCACGGGUGAGUAACGCGUAGGAAUAUGCCUUAUAGAGGGGGACAACUUGGGGAAACUCAAGCUAAUACCGCGUAAGAUCUUAGGAUGAAAGCUUGGGACUGUAAAAAGGCCAGGCGCUAUAAGAAUAGCCUGCGUACGAUUAGCUAGUUGGUGGGGUAAAGGCCUACCAAGGCGACGAUCGUUAGCUGGUCUGAGAGGAUGGCCAGCCACACUGGAACUGAGACACGGUCCAGACUCCUACGGGAGGCAG
rnacentral:rRNA from 1 species